UGGGGAAUAUUGCACAAUGGGGGAAACCCUGAUGCAGCGACGCCGCGUGAGCGAAGAAGGCUUUCGAGUCGUAAAGCUCUGUCCUAUGAGAAGAUAAUGACGGUAUCAUAGGAGGAAGCCCUGGCUAAAUACGUGCCAGCAGCCGCCGUAAUAUGUAUGGGGCGAGCGUUGUCCGGAAUUAUUGGGCGUAAAGGGUACGUAGGCGGUCUUUCAAGUCGGUGGUUAAAGGCUACGGCUCAACCGUAGUUAGCCUCCGAAACUGGAAGACUUGAGUGCAGGAGAGGAAAGUGGAAUUCCCAGUGUAGCGGUGAAAUGCGUAGAUAUUGGGAGGAACACCAGUAGCGAAGGCGGCUUUCUGGACUGCAACUGACACUGAGGCACGAAAGCGUGGGUAGCAAACAGG
rnacentral:rRNA from 1 species